rnacentral:piRNA from 1 species
ACGCCUGGGGAAUGUGCCCUCUCACA